rnacentral:RNase_P_RNA from 1 species
AAUGCAAGCCGUUCUAUCGCUGUUCCUUUAUUGGGAGAGAGGAAAGUCCGGGCAACACAGGGCGUCCCGCUUCCUAACGGGAAGAGGUUUGGGAAUGAACACCCGAAUUAUGGAAAGUGCCACAGAAAAUACACCGCCGAUGGGACUUGGCUGAUACCGAAAGGUUGAGCUGCUGACACAGGUAAGGUUGAAAACGUGAGGUAAGGGCUCACGAUUUUUGUCAGCGAUGGCAGAACUGGUAAACCCCGGGAGUUGAAAGACCAAAUAGGCUAACGCAUGUAGGGCUGCCCGUCCGAUGUUAGUGGGUAGGUCGUUAGAGAUAAAUGGCAACAUUUAUACUGGAUUAAUGAUAGAAGACCUGAGCAAUCAGGUUACAGAACCCGGCUUACAGGCUUGCAUUUUAU